AAAAAAAUAAAAGAGACCAAACUCACUUUUAUUUUUGAAAUUCCCGCCGACUGUGCUGUUUAUCGAUGUUUCGAAAUAAAAUCAGGAUCGUUGUACAUCAUUUUUUAUUAUAAAUCAUGUGAACACUUGUCUAUUGGGAAACUUCGUCAAAUCAUUUACAAGCAUCUUACUGAUGGCGACUGUGUAACUAGCAUUGACACUUGCGCAGGAAUGGAGGGCCACAUGUACAUUAAGAUCAAAAUUAAAUGCAUCGAUUCAUCCAUUUGCCGAAGCAAAAUUGUCAAGGCAAAACUAAGCGACAGUGUGGGUCACGUAAUAUCAGAUCUACUGGAAGAAUCCGAUGGAACAGCUCUUCAGAUAUCAAGAAUCGAAAGUGAGGGUACAGACCUCGAACCAAAGACACCUGUUAAUGUCUUAAAAGAUUUCGGAUACAAAUCUUUGUCAGCAUGGGUAAUUAAACUGGACCAGGACACUAACAAUAACAAAACUCCCCAAGAAAAGAACAUUUUUGAUGUUUUGAUGUCAGCAAGCAGAAGUUAUGUACAUUAUCCUGCACAAAGGUACAUAUAUUUCACUAGAAAUUUAUUUUCAAUAUGUAUUUGAAAUUGUGGAUAAAAAAAUCAGGUCUUGACGGAAUGUUCCAUAUCUUGUUGUAGAAAAGAAACCACUUCAAGGGAUAGGUUGUACAAUGAUGUUAUCUCAAUACUAAAGAAUCACAGCAUUGGGUUUACCAGCCACCAAGUAAGUGGUGUAGGCAACCACAUAGUUUCUACAAUAACUCAGGCACUGUGGUACUUAGAUCCACACCAUGAGAAAUUCCAGAAAAGAGGCCUCCAAAUGCCCAAACUCUUCAAAGAGAUGUGUGGGUUCAUCUCCAAUUGAGACACAGUAUUACGCAGGUAUUAAUGUUAAGAAUUGAAGAUGUACACAGUCUCAACCUCAUAUUUUUUUCAUUUCCUACUCUCUGAUAUUUACUAUUUGACUUUUAUUAUUACUGUUUUAUUAAAUAGGAGCAACACAGAUUUUUGAUGCUGUUUGCUUUCACUGUGGAGACUCGGAUGUUUCUAACUCUGAGGAAUUUAGGCGAUUGCAAGAAGAUUUCGCCAUUGUCCGGCCAAUAUGCCAAGCAUGUCUUCACGCAGGAAAACAAAUUUCUACCCAGAAUGCAAAAAAAACGCAGAAAAUGAUUUAUACUCAUACACUGAAUCCAAAUAUAUGAUAAACAAAAUUUUACUGUGUGAUUGAUUUUCAUUUUUAUCAUUUUAUUAAAAAAAAAAAAAAACUCUUUCUGUGAAUUUUAUUUUUUUUAUUGUCUCGACUCAACAUAUUUUUAGCUUUUUUUUUUAAUUUUAUUUCGCCCCCUCGACUCAAUAUUUUUGGAAAAAUUCCUGUUAAACAGAAAAUAAAAAAAACUCUGGCCUAAUGAGUAUUCAUUCUUCUAUUACGUGGCACCUACAUAAACAUUCAAUGGAGAACUGUUCAUUCUUCUAUUACGUGGCACCUACACAAAGUGCCAUAAUGAGUAUUCAUUCUUCUAUUACGUGGCACCUACACAAACAUUCAAUGGAGAACUAUUC